rnacentral:rRNA from 1 species
GUGAAUCAUCGAAUCUUUGAACGCACAUUGCGCCCUCUGGUAUUCCGGGGGGCAUGCCUGUUCGAGCGUCAUU